AUUGAACGCUGGCGGCAGGCCUAACACAUGCAAGUCGAACGAGUGGCGGACGGGUGAGUAAUGUCUGGGAAACUGCCCGAUGGAGGGGGAUAACUACUGGAAACGGUAGCUAAUACCGCCUACCAUCGGAUGUGCCCCGAUGGGAUUAGCUAGUAGGUGGGGUAACGGCUCACCUAGGCGACGAUCCCUAGCUGGUCUGAGAUGAUGACCCGCUAUACGGGAACUGAGACACGGUCAAGACUCCUACGGGAGGCAGCAGUGGGGAAUAUUGCACAAUGGGCUCAAGCCUAAUGAAGCCAUGCCUCGUGAAUGAAGAAGGCCUUCGGGUUGUAAAGUACUUUCAGCGAGGAGGCGUUAUUCGCAGAAGAAGCACCGGCUAACUCCGUGCCAGCAGCCGCGGUAAUAC
rnacentral:rRNA from 1 species